CACGAGGACCUGAAUGGGAGCAAAUGGGAUGGUGGAAACCAGUUUGGCAAUGUACCAGGAUUUACUAUGCAGCAUGAGAAGAGGCCCUACUCAAAAUCUUAAGAAACACCAAGAGAAAGAAGAAUCAGGCAGAAGAAGAGAAGCUCCCAAGAAGCCUGAGAAAGAAUGGCUACAGAAAUAGGAGAAAGUGAGGUCAUGGAAAUCAAAUGAAAAGAGUGCUUGGGGAAAGGGAAAGCUAAUUUAAUUUAAUAGAGUAGGACAGGCCUAAAGUUUCAAUUCAUUCAAUUUUAAAAUUAGAAAAAGGAAUAAAACAUUAUUCGACAAAUAAAACAACAAAAAUAUGCUGCAGACCCAUAUUAUAUGCCUCUUCACUCAUAUUUGAUUUUAUCCCCUUUCAGAAAAAAAAAUCGAAGGCCAAGAAAGAAAAAAAAAAAGACCAACAGCAUUCAGCUUGUGGUCCUCCAGGGUCUCACCUCACUUGAGCCUAUGCUUUUAUGUACAAGUUCCAAUUUCCUCUUAAUGGUGAUUCUCUGAAUUUAUCUCCCAUGAGGUCUAUAUCCUCUAAAAAGCCUCAUUUCUCAUACCUAUGCUUCAAUAAAAUAGUCUCACCUCUUUGAUUCCCUUCUCCUGCUCUGUUCUGAGCAAUAACUCCCAUGUAACUCCAACUCACCUUCUCUCAUACUCUUAUAGUAUGCAACUGGAGAGGCAGCAUCCUUAGUUCAAAAAUCCGAAAUCUGAAAUGCUCCAAAAUCCAAAACUUUUUGAGUGCUAACAUGAUGCCACAAGUGGAAAAUUCCAGAUCUUCCCUCAUGAUGGGUCGCAUAUAUUAUUAAAAAUAUUAUAAUAUGUUACCCUCGGGCUAUGUGUAUAGCAUAUGAAAUAUAAAAGAAUUUUGUGUUUAGACUUGAGUCCCAUCCCCAGGAUAUUUAUGUAUAUGUAAAUAUUCCAAAAUCUGAAACACUUCUAGUCCCAAGCAUUUCAGAUAAGGGAUACUCAACCUGUACAUGCACACACAGAAUUCCAUUCCCAGCUAGCACGCUUCCACCAACAGGGAGUUCCAACUUAGAACAGCUGUGUCCCACUCGCAGAGUGGCUGUUAGAGACAGAGUUCUCUCCUCUAUAUGCUUAAAACCAUCUUAGGAAGUAGUUUUAUCUCCAGCUACUGGCUACAGAAUGAGGGGCUAAGGAUCCCUCAUUUAAGAUGUGGGGACCUAUCUUUUGUAUUACUCAAAGCACCCAAAAGUGCACAAUGAAAUCUGUUGCUCUAAAUAGGACAGAGUUCAAAAGACUGUCCUAGAAAACCUUCCAAACACUCAAGGAGAUCAAGGUGAGGGCUGCUGAUUCCACCCUAAUCCAGACAACCAUUAUUAACUAGUGCAAAAAUAAGUUUCUUGAGUGCACCCAAAAGUUCUUUUGCAUAGUCUAAUCAUUUCCUGUUGCAAUAACCUCUUAGGUAUCACAAGCUAAAUAUUCUUAAAAAUUUAGUUGUACUUUCUCACUCAGCCAAACCUGUUGUUUACAAUAAGCAAAGAUGCUCUGUGUACCAGAAUAUCACAGAAUGCCAUGGGAGAAAAGGAGUUCUAGUGACAGAAUAAAAAUUAAAGGUCAUCUAUUAUUUGCACUGCAUUCAGUACUCAUAAAUUCAUUACUUAAGGCUAUCUAGAAUGAGUAGGUUUGUAUUGUGGCUUUCAGGGUCUGUAAAUUACACAGUCAUCAAUGAAGAACAAGGAGAGAAUACAGAAGAGGUCUUAUAACCUUUCCUCUCUUUUUAUUUACCAACUGCAAGACUGGUGGGAGGGGGAACAAGUUCUGUACUUGACAACAUUCCCCCAUAGAGAAUUAAACCUGAGGUGCUAACUAAAAUUAUUUCAUUGUCUUCUUAAGUAAUGGACUCAUUAAUUCUCAUUGAUAUUGAUUAGUGCAGGAAAAUGCAUUACAUUCUAAUUAAUGAGACUGUCUUAGUAAAAGGGGAAAUGUUGCAUAAAGUUAAUUUGA
rnacentral:lncRNA from 1 species